rnacentral:rRNA from 1 species
UACAGAGGUCUCAAGCGUUGUUCGGAUUCAUUGGGCGUAAAGGGUGUGUAGGUGGCGCCGUAAGUCGGGUGUGAAAUUUCGGAGCUUAACUCCGAAACUGCAUUCGAUACUGCGGUGCUUGAGGACUGGAGAGGAGACUGGAAUUCAUGGUGUAGCAGUGAAAUGCGUAGAGAUCAUGAGGAAGACCAGUGGCGAAGGCGGGUCUCUGGACAGUUCCUGGACACUGAGACACGAAGGCCAGGGGAGCAAACGGG